ACUGUUGAAAGUACAAAAGUCUUCGUAUUUAUAAAAUAUUUUUUAUAAUGAAAUAUUUGAUUCAACAAUUAAUUUCGUUAGACGUAAUCUACGUUAUUAGAACUAUUUGAAAAUCAAAUUUCAUAAUUUUUUUACUUUAUUUGUCUAAUGAACUAGUAAUAUCAAAAUGAACGAUUUAAAAUAAAAAUCUCAUAAAAGACAGUAAUAAAAAACUCAAAUUUCAAAUCAAAAAUAUUGAUUUUGCUAUUAAUAUUAAGUAAAAUAUUUUAUUAAAGAUUCAUAUAAUUUAGAUUGUUCUAUACCGUUCAAUUUAAAAACGUGUCACAUCAAUCGUUAAAAUAGCCAUUUCUUAGACCUUUUAAUUACUUAAUAAAUAAUAUAAAAAAAUUAUGAAAUUUAAUUUUUAGAUAAUUUUAAUAGCGUAAAUUAUACUUAACGGAAUCGAUCAUCGGAUCAAAUAUCCUAUCAUCAAAAAUAACUUAUAAAUAUAAAAAUUUCCGUGCUUUCGAAAGCAUAA
rnacentral:lncRNA from 1 species